GCCCACGUAGCUCAGAUGGUAGAGCGCAUCCUUGGUAAGGAUGAGGUCACCGGUUCGAUUCCGGUCGUGGGCU
rnacentral:tRNA from 1 species